GGAUUUUUGGUUGCUUACGCCAUAUUCAAUGAGGUGCAUCAGAAAAAGCCAUCAACUCCGUGGCCGAUAAAAUUGUGGAAGAGGUAUGUGCGAUUGACCGGACCGCCAGUUUUGCUCGUACUGGUGUUGUUCGUGUACCCGGCCUUAAUGAACGGGCCAGUAGCGGACCACAUCAAAGAAGACAUGUUGCUCAAGCCGUGCCAGAGCUCCUGGUGGACACCCCUGGUGCACGUCAUAAAUGUUCAGCGCAUACGAAAAAUGUGUGCAGGCCACCUGUGGUUUCUUUCGUGUGAUUUCCAG